rnacentral:rRNA from 1 species
CUACGUGCCAGCAGCCGCGGUAAUACGUAGGUGGCAAGCGUUGUCCGGAAUUAUUGGGCGUAAAGCGCGCGCAGGCGGAUUGGUCAGUCUGUCUUAAAAGUUCGGGGCUUAACCCCGUGAUGGGAUGGAAACUGCCAAUCUAGAGUAUCGGAGAGGAAAGUGGAAUUCCUAGCGUAGCGGUGAAAUGCGUAGAUAUUAGGAAGAACACCAGUGGCGAAGGCGACUUUCUGGACGAAAACUGACGCUGAGGCGCGAAAGCCAGGGGAGCGAACGGGAUUAGAUACCCCGGUAGUCCUGGCCGUAAACGAUGGGUACUAGGUGUAGGAGGUAUCGACCCCUUCUGUGCCGGAGUUAACGCAAUAAGUACCCCGCCUGGGGAGUACGACCGCAAGGUUGAAACUCAAAGGAAUUGACGGGGGCCCGCACAAGCGGUGGAGUAUGUGGUUUAAUUCGACGCAACGCGAAGAACCUUACCAGGUCUUGACAU